rnacentral:lncRNA from 1 species
GGACCCCUCGGAGUCCUAGGGUGCUCUAUAAGAAGACCCCCUCCCUCUUGAGACCGAUCAUUGGCCUCCUCCCUCUCUCCUUCUCUCCGAUUUUCUCGAAUUAGAGCCGCGGACACCGUCCGAUUUCUCACCAUAAUUGCUCGCCAGCGAGGUCUCCAGAGGCUGAGGUGAGUCUCCUUCUUCUUCCCCUCCUUCUUCUCCUUCCUCCCAUGCUCCUGUGCACGGCUGCCGGUGACG